CAAUAAGCAAAAUAAGGGCGUAUGGGGGAUGCCUAGGCUCUCAGAGGCGAAGAAGGACGUGAUAAGCUGCGAAAAGCUACGGGGAUUGGCACACACGAAUUGAUCCGUAGAUAUCCGAAUGGGGCAACCCACUAUCUUGAAGAGAUAGUACACCGAUAGGUGGGCAAACCCGCUGAACUGAAACAUCUAAGUAGGCGGAGGAGAAGAAAACAAAAGUGAUUCCGUAAGUAGUGGCGAGCGAACGCGGAUUAGCCCAAACCAAUGUUGUUACGGCAAUGUUGGGGUUGUAGGACCACGAGAUUUUAUGCACAAGGAACCGGAAGUUACUGGAAAGUGACGCCAUAGAGGGUGAUAGCCCCGUAUGGGUAACGAGUGUAAUGAAUAGUGGUAUCCUGAGUAGGGCGGGGCACGUGAAACCCUGUCUGAAUUUGGCGGGACCAUCCGCUAAGGCUAAAUACUCCUGAGAGACCGAUAGUGAACCAGUACCGUGAGGGAAAGGUGAAAAGAACCGUGAAUAACGGAGUGAAAUAGAUCCUGAAACCAUACGCCUACAAGCGGUCGGAGCCCUUUUGUGGGGUGACGGCGUGCCUUUUGCAUAAUGAGCCUACGAGUUAACGUUGCUGGCAAGGAUAAGAGCUUAAGGCUUGGAUCCGUAGCGAAAGCGAGUCUGAAUAGGGCGCUUUAGUCAGUAGUGUUAGACGCGAAACCGUGUGAUCUACCCAUGGGCAGGUUGAAGCAUCUGGUAACACGAUGUGGAGGACCGAACCGGUUGACGUUGAAAAGUCUUCGGAUGACCUGUGGGUAGGGGUGAAAGGCCAAUAAGACUCGCCCCGAAAUGCAUUUAGGUGCAGCGUUGGCGUAAAGUUAUAUAGAGGUAGAGCUACUGAUUGGAUGCGGGGGCUUCACCGCCUACCAAUUCCUGACAAACUCCGAAUGCUAUAUAAUGUUUACCAGCAGUGAGGGCUUGGGUGCUAAGGUCCAAGUCCGAGAGGGAAAGAACCCAGACCAUCAGCUAAGGUCCCCAAAUAUAUGUUAAGUUGAAAGAACGAGGUUUGUCUGCCCAGACAGCUAGGAUGUUGGCUUGGAAGCAGCCAUUCAUUUAAAGAGUGCGUAACAGCUCACUAGUCGAGCGGACGAGCAUGGAUAAUAAUCGGGCAUAAACAUAUUACCGAAGCUAUGGAUUUUGACGUAAGUCAAAGUGGUAGGGGAGCAUUCCAGCAGGGUUGAAGGUGUAUCGUAAGGUAUGCUGGACUGGCUGGAAAAGAAAAUGUAGGCAUAAGUAACGAUAAUGCGGGCGAGAAACCCGCACACCGAAAGACUAAGGUUUCCGCAGCUAUGCUAAUCAGCUGCGGGUUAGUCGGGACCUAAGGCGAACCCGAAAGGGACAGUCGAUGGCCAACGGGUUAAUAUUCCCGUACUACUGAUAACUGUGAUGGGGUGACGGAGUGAUGAAAGUACCGCGAACUGACGGAAUAGUUCGUUAAAGCACCUAGCUAUAAGACUUGUAGGCAAAUCCGCAGGUUUUGGUGAAAUGCGAUAGUACUCGGCGUCUUCGGACAAAGAGAUAGUGUACCUAAGGGCUUCCAAGAAAAACCUCUAAACUUCAGGUUAUUAGUACCCGUACCGUAAACCGACACAGGUAGUCGAGGAGAGAAUCCUAAGGUGCUCGAGAGAUUCAUGGCUAAGGAAUUAGGCAAAAUAGACCCGUAACUUCGGGAGAAGGGUCGCCCCGAUUUAUCGGGGCCGCAGUGAAGAGGUCCAGGCGACUGUUUAUCAAAAACACAGGGCUCUGCAAAAUCGUAAGAUGAAGUAUAGGGCCUGACACCUGCCCGGUGCUGGAAGGUUAAGAGGAGAUGUUAUCUUCGGAGAAGCAUUGAAUUGAAGCCCCAGUAAACGGCGGCCGUAACUAUAACGUCCUAAGGUAGCGAAAUUCCUUGUCGGGUAAGUUCCGACCUGCACGAAUGGUGUAACGAUCUGGACACUGUCUCAGCCAUGAGCUCGGUGAAAUUGUAGUAACGGUGAAGAUGCCGUUUACCCGCAGUGGGACGAAAAGACCCUGUGCACCUUUACUAUAGCUUAGUAUUGACCUUGGAUAAAUGAUGUGUAGGAUAGGUUGGAGACUGUGAAGUGGCGUCGCCAGGCGUUGUGGAGUCAUUGUUGAAAUACGACCCUUUGCUUAUCUGGAGUCUAACUCGGGAAACUGAGAACAUUGCUUGGUGGGUAGUUUGACUGGGGUGGUCGCCUCCAAAAGAGUAACGGAGGCUUCUAAAGGUUCCCUCAGUACGCUUGGUAACCGUGCGUAGAGUGCAAUGGCAUAACAUCGCUCAAAGGAUAAAAGGUACGCCGGGGAUAACAGGCUGAUCUCCCCCAAGAGCUCAUAUCGACGGGGGGGUUUGGCACCUCGAUGUCGGCUCGUCACAUCCUGGGGCUGGAGAAGGUCCCAAGGGUUGGGCUGUUCGCCCAUUAAAGUGGCACGCGAGCUGGGUUCAGAACGUCGUGAGACAGUUCGGUCUCUAUCUACUGUGGGCGCAAGAAAUUUGAGUGGAUCUGAUUCUAGUACGAGAGGACGGAAUUGGACUAACCUCUAGUGUAUCUGUUGUUCCGCCAGGAGCACCGCAGAGUAGCUACGUUGGGAAGGGAUAAGCGCUGAAAGCAUAUAAGCGCGAAACCCACCACAAGAUGAGAUUUCUUUUAAGGGUCGUGGGAGAUGACCACGUUGAUAGGCUAUAGGUGUAAAGGCAGUAAUGUCAUAGCCGAGUAGUACUAAUAACCCGUAAGCUUAUGUAC
rnacentral:rRNA from 1 species